AUCAUCAAUGCGGGCUGAGGAUUUCAGGUGGGCUAAUCAGCCAGAGGAAUCGACCCGGACACUUACAGCCUCUGGGUUAUUCCCAUGUAAAUACUCUCAGCGUAGAGAACAGAAGAAAAGACAAUUAGUCCAGGCUGUCAGGAACUCCACGCAAGCUGCUUCGUUCCUGAAAAUGGUCCUCAUUUUUUCCCCAAGAUCUUCCCUGGCUGUGGCACAUCUCACACGCUGCAGGGAGCUGUCAGCUCUGUGGAGCGACUAGAGGAAUUAAAAAUAAAAAUUGACUUUCAGAGAACAAAAUCAGACCUGACAACUCAAGUCACUCAAACCAGCCGUGGUUAGAAGAUUGCAAAUAUGUUUGUAAAAAGGAGGUGGCACAGACUGGUGGGGGAGAGAUUCUCUCAGGAAGGAACUCUGGGAACGUGUUCAUCUCCUGAGAUGAGGUUUCCAGCAACCGCCCUGUCCCACUGUGUUCGUUGCUUCACUUUCCAUCCUCAUCGCGGUCUGGGCUCAUGUCCGGCCCUCAAUGAAUUGGAUGAUGCCCACCCAUGUUGGAAAGGACCAACUGCUUUCCUCAAUCCGCCAGUUCGAAUGCUCGUCUCUUCCAGAAAUGCCAUCACAGACAUGCCCAUAUAUAACGUUUCACCAGCUCUCUGGACGUUCCAUGGCUCAGUCAAGUUGACGUGUAAAAUACACCAUUGCACAAAAUGAAUAAAAUGUAUAGUAUGUUA